rnacentral:rRNA from 1 species
UACGGAGGUUGCGAGCGUUGUCCGGAAUCACUGGGCGUAAAGGGCGCGUAGGCGGCGCGGAUAGUCGGCGGUGAAAGCCCGGAGCUCAACUCCGGGUCGGCCGUCGAUACUUCCGGGCUUGAGCACUGUAGAGGCAGAUGGAAUUCCGGGUGUAGCGGUGGAAUGCGUAGAGAUCCGGAAGAACACCGGUGGCGAAGGCGGUCUGCUGGGCAGUUGCUGACGCUGAUGCGCGACAGCGUGGGGAGCAAACAGG